rnacentral:rRNA from 1 species
AUUGAACGCUGGCGGCAGGCCUAACACAUGCAAGUCGAACGAGUGGCGGACGGGUGAGUAAUGUCUGGGAAACUGCCCGAUGGAGGGGGAUAACUACUGGAAACGGUAGCUAAUCACGCAUACCAUCGGAUGUGCCCAGAUGGGAUUAGCUUGUAGGUGAGGUAAAGGCUCACCUAGGCGACGAUCCCUAGCUGGUCUGAGAGGAUGACCAGGCAACGUGGAACUAAGACACGGGCGGGACUCCUACGGGGGGCAGCAGUGGGGAAUAUUGCACAAGGGGCGCAAGCCGGAUGCAGCCAUGCCGCGUGUAUGAAGAAGGCCUUCGGGUGGUAAAGUACUUGCAGCGUGGAGGCGUUACCCGCAGCAGAAUCACCGGCUAACUCCGUGCCAGCAGCCGCGGUAAUAC